AGUUGAUAGCUACAGAGGCACAGAGGAAUUAUUGCUGAACAUCACUAAUAACCCGGUGAGGUCGGCUGGGCUGAGAGAGAGUGAUUGGCUAAAGG